GCCUACGGGGGGCAGCAGUGAGGAAUAUUGGUCAAUGGGCUUACGCCUGAACCAGCCAAGUCGCGUGAGGGAAGACUGCCCUAUGGGUUGUAAACCUCUUUUGUCAGGGAGCAACGCCGGCUACGUGUAGCCGGACUGAGAGUACCUGAAGAAAAAGCAUCGGCUAACUCCGUGCCAGCAGCCGCGGUAAUACGGAGGAUGCGAGCGUUAUCCGGAUUUAUUGGGUUUAAAGGGUGCGUAGGCGGAAUGCCAAGUCAGCGGUAAAAUCGCGGGGCUCAACAUCGCUCCGCGGUUGAAACUGGCGU
rnacentral:rRNA from 1 species